rnacentral:lncRNA from 1 species
CUUUUGCGAUAUCUGUUGUGGUAAAAAACUGGGCGAGCAACCAACAGUCAAUAUUGCUCGGUCUCCUCGGCACUGGACCUCGGAUACUUGAAGGGCGACCUGCACAGACGAACAAAAGUAAAAGGCUGGGGCGAGGCCGCUCACAACCCCUCCGGCAUGGAGAUCAGACCAAGGUGUUGACAGCAGAUAAGACAGCUCUGAAGAGAAUUGUGGAGUGUGUUUUUCGUACCUUUGUUUAAUGGGGGAGCGGCCUUUUUAUAGAUGGAGUAAUGGGCCGUGUCCAUGGAUCACGGCGAGAUCCUCGGAAGGAUGAGUAUGGAAAGGUAUCUCGAAGAUAUAGGAGACAUAAUUGGGAAGAUUGCCAUUUGGAGAGUAUCCCGUAAUUGUCGGUGCCAUGGAGGAGAAAAUCUCGCGAUAGGCGUAUAAAUGGGGAUCUGGUGGAGAUGGCUUAUGAUCAAGCCAAGUAUUUUACCUCGCCCAAGGACGAGGAGGAGACAGCACUUUGGCUCUGGGCGAGCUCAAUGGAGAUAGCUUGGCGAGGUUCCGUACUGAACAUUAGACUCGUUUUACCUCGGUCAAGAGGGUUCGGAGAUUAGCAUCGUUUAGGGAGAUCAUGGGCGACCAGUUCUGAGAUGGCGACGUAUACGCCUUGGUCGGUGGGGAUUUUAUCCCACAUCAGUAGCCCCCUACUCGAAAUGCCGAGGAGGGACAAGGGAUUUACGAGUAGUUAAUUACAAUCCUCGUGUCAUUUCCAAACGGUGACACGUGUCUCUCCAAACGUACGCGUGAGCUGGAGCAUUGAUUGCUGAAACGACGGCACGAAGAGCUAGGCGCAGCUUUAAAUGAUGAAUCAGGCGGGAAAUGCAGAGCGUGGCUGACACCGCAGGCUUGAGGCGGCGCAUUAAUGAGGUGUUUAGGCGAGAGACGCAAUUAUUUCCUCGGGAGACGGAACGGCGCCUGGGUAAUCAUUGCAUUGAAUGUAUCUGGACCCCCGGUGCCCUCUAUAUAUAAGGGGUCCUCCCUUUCACUAGCAUUUUUUUUGCUAUCGUCGUUAAGCUCUCACUCUAGAAUUCAAUUCUUCCUCGCCCUACUCGUGAUCGCCAAGCGUCUUCCACUUCCAGUAAGUACUCUUCUCCUUCUCGUUUUCGUAGUUUAUGUCCCAUAAUUCUGGUGUAACUAGAUCGGGGGACUUAGAUUCGUUACCCUCGUGGAUAUCCGAUCACUUAGGACAAGGCUCCUCCUACAUGGCCGACGAGGUAGAUCAAUCUCCUUCCUCGCCCGUAGAGGGUUCACCCGAGGAGAACCCUUUGAUCGCCAUCCAUCCUUCAGUAGAGGAGAAAACGAAUAUCAUGACUUUAGAGGAGCUGAACGCUCUUAGGGAAACUUAUUCUUUUCCUCCCGGGGUGCGGGCAAGGCUUCCUGACGAAGGGGAGACCAUCACCUCUACCCGCCCGAGCGAGGUGGCUUUUUACGAGGCCGCGUUCCCCGCUGGCCUUCGUUUUCCUCUCCACAACACCAUUAGGCUAAUUCUCCAAUUUUACAACAUCUGCCCGGCCCAGCUCGUGCCCAACGCGUGGAGAAGCAUUACUUGCUCUAUGGCGUUGUGGCGGGUCUACAAAUAUUCUCUCUCCUUGUCCGAGUUUAGGAACCUUUUUAGCCUCAGCUGCAAUCCUAAACCAGACCAAGGCUGGUUAUAUUUUAAGGCGAGGAACAAGAAGGUUCUGCUCGGAGGAUACCCCAGCAACGUCAAAGGGUGGAAGAGCAAGUUCUUCUUCGUCUCCGGCGAUGAAUGGGAGAUUCCCGCAGGAACGUCUCCGGUGGGCGCCCCAAGAGUUCCGAGGACGUGGGGGAUUCCAGGUCGGUCGGUCUUCCCUUUCUACCCUGUUUUUGUAUUCUUGAAUGCUCGGGUGGGCUAAAGCUGUUGUCCUUUGCAGAUAAGCACUGUAAUAAUCCGCCUCGACUGUUUGGCGACGAAACGAAGGUCUUCGAUGAGGCUUUUCAGUCAGUCGAGAAGUCGGGACGCUUCUCAGUACCAGUGCUGCUGGACUCAAAGUCGUUUGGCCGAGUAUUUGGCUCUCCUGAAUCUAGGACGUCGAGGACGGCGGGCGACAAUCUUCCGAGCGGAGAAGCUCCAAGCUCCUCAAGCGACGUGGGUGAGUCCGAAAAUCCCCAUGAUCAAGCUCGGCGAGAAGCCCUUCCCGAGACGAUUCAAUCGAGUGUCUAGGAUCCAUCAGAACGAACUUUAGGAGGUUGCUACCUCACAUCCCCGACCUGACCCUUUUGAGGUGGUUGGGGGGAAGGUUCGGGAUCCUAUACUAGAUCGUUCCUCGAAUGCUCCAAGCUCGAAUUCCUUGUCGGAAUCUCGUUCGGACUCGAGCCUACCCGUCGAGCUUGAAUCGGAUGGUUUUGACCCUUUCUUUUUUCUGGGCGAUGAUUACUUUCCUUAUCUGACUCGUAUGUUAUUGUGCAGCUAUGUCGAAGAGAGUGAGCUUCAAGAAGAUUGGCGAGAAGCUCGGGAAAACGGCGGGUGCGAGCUCGGGGACCCCCGCUCCGGCGAAGGGAGUCGUAAUUGGCGACAAGCGGCCCGGAGAGAGUAUCACCAGCUCGCCCAGCAAGAAGGGGAAGGCUGACGACGGCUCGAAGGGAAAAGGAGUCGACAUCCCCUAAGGCCAAGAAGAAAACGACGUCGUCGAGCAAAGCUCCGACCAUUCCAGCCGCCGCUUCUCCUCGCCCCGGGGAAGGUUCCUCGGCAAAUCUCGGCACUAUCUUGGGCCCCACAGCUUCUAUGUUGGGCAGCCCAUCAGUGGCCGAGAAGUUGCUGCGGGGGGUGAUUCCCCCAGCUGACAAGGAGAAGGUGGAGAAGCUCACCUUGGACCAGACGGCGACGAAGCUCUUCCACGUCAUCGGUCAGGUACUCUUCGGGGGGCUUUUCAAAUGUUCUAUCGAUUUAACAAACUGUGGAUUGCUAAAAAAUGUUUCCUUUCUUAUAGCAGGGAGGCCGGGGAGCUGGCAUCUCUUCAAGAGGGGCGAGCUGCUUCCAUGGAGACCAAAAUUGCUCGCCUCCAGAAGGUUGCUGCCGAUCUGGACCAGCAACUGGCCGAGUCCCGCGCUCGUGAGCAGCAGGCCAAUGAUGAGCUCGCCAAGGCGAAGAGCGAUCGAGACUCGCUAUCCGACCAGUGCGGGAGGUCGGGCGUGUUGGUGAACGAGCUGAGGGAAGCUCUGAAUAAGUCCAAGGACUCUGCCGUGGAGGAGUUUAAAUCCUCGUCGGAGUUCAUGGUGGCCGUUGAAGAUGCUGCCUCCAAAUACUUCGGCGAGGGGUUUAACUUCUGCAAGGUGCAACUUCGCCGUCAUCACCCCGACCUCGCCGUCGACCUGGAAGGAACUGUGGUCGAUCAAGAUUUGCUGGAGGAGCUAGACGAGGCCGAUGAAGAAAAUGAGAAAACGGGCGAGAAUGAUGGGGGUAAAAAAUAAUGCCCCGAGGUGUAAAAUAUUAUUUUUUUUUUUUGAUUUGAGAUGUAAUUCUUGUUCAUUUGAAUGAAAAUAUUUUUGUUCCCCGUCUUUUGUUUGAGCGUUAAUGGCGACCAUAAGUAAUGGCGAAAUCUCAAUAACUGAAAUAAUAUUGGCAAUUUCAAUAAUGGGCGAUCUUAUUUUGUUCUGAACUGGCGAUUUCAUUUUGUUUUGAACUGGCGAUAUCAUUUUUCUUUAACUGGCGAUCUCAAUAUUGGCGAUCAUCGAUAUAGGCGACCAUAAUAAGGGCGACAUAGACAAUGGCGAUAGCAAUCUUUCGUAUAAACGACGAUCUAACAUAGGCGAAUCGUAACAAAUUCCGAAUAAUAAACUUAUUUAGGGUGCGAAUGGAUUCUCAUGACUCUCAUUGAUAGUACUUUUUCAAAUGCUCGGCAUUCCAGGGAUGUGAAAGUGCUUUUCCGUCUGGGUCUUCUAACCAGUAAGUCCCUGGUCGGGAGACUUUGAUGACUUUGUAAGGACCUUCCCACGUAGGGCCGAGCUUUCCCGCAUUUGGUUCUUUAGUUGACAGGGUUACUUUCCGCAAGACCAGGUCGCCCGGAAGGAAUGAACGGUGUCUGACUCUUUGAUUGUAGUACUUGGCGACUUGGCACUUGUAAGCCAUUUGACGUAGCUCGACGUUCUCUCUUUUUUUCUCAAGGAGGUCCAGGUUGACUCUGAGCUCGGCCUCAUUGAUUUCUUUGUCGAAAUUCGAAACCCUGAAACUCGGCAUACCUAUUUCCACCGGUAUGACUGAUUCGGUUCCGAAGACCAUGGAAUAUGGAGUUUCACCCGUAGGAAUCCGGCUAGUAGUAUGAUAAGCCCAAAGUAUGCUUGGCAAAUUUUUUGCCCAUUCGCUUUUUGACCUGUCUAGCCUCGCCUUCAAAUUCUUAAGGAUGGUACGAUUGGUUAUUUCAACUUGCCCAUUAGCUUGAGGAUGACCGGGCGAGGAGAAAUGAUGGGAGAUGGCGAGAUCCGAACAAAAUAACCUGAACCUGUCGUUGUCGAACUGUCUUGCGUUGUCCGAGAUGAUAACCUUUGGGACUCCGAAUCUGCAAACGAGGUGCUUCCAUACGAAGUCCCGGGUAUUUUUCUCAGUAAUCUUGGCGAGAGGCUGAGCUUCUAUCCAUUUAGUGAAAUAAUCUAUGGCGACGAUUAAAAACUUCCUUUGCAAAGGAGCUUGCGGUAGGGGACCCAGAAUGUCUAUCCCCCACUGGGCGAAUGGCCAGGGGCUGGACAUCGGUACCAUCUCGGUGUGAGGGAGAUGGCUAACGGGGGCAAACCUCUGGCAUUUGUCGCAUCUCUUGAUAUACGCUGCCGCAUCUCGUUCUAUGGUCGGCCAAAAAUAUCCUUGGCGAAUAGUUUUCUUCGCCAAUGACCUUGCUCCGGAGUGAUUUCCGCAUAUGCCUUCGUGUAUUUCUCGUAGAACGUACUCUGCCUCUUCUGGUCGGAGACAUCUCAAGAGUGGUCCUGAAAAAGACCUUUUGUAUAGCUUG